CCCUGUUACUGAACGGCCAAUCGGUGGUAGACCCACCUCCCCCCUAUACCCAGAGUCACCGCUGCGGCCGCCGCCAUUUUAGCGUUUUGUCGGGAGCGUCUGUGCCGCGAGGAGGAGGCCCUGCUGAUUUCCGUGCGGGCUCUUGUCAGGAUGGUGAAGCUGUUCAUCGGAAACCUGCCCCGGGAGGCCACAGAGCAGGAGAUCCGCUCACUCUUCGAGCAGUAUGGGAAAGUGCUGGAAUGUGACAUCAUUAAGAACUACGGCUUUGUGCACAUAGAGGACAAGACAGCCGCGGAGGAUGCCAUACGCAACCUGCACCACUACAAGCUUCAUGGGGUGAACAUCAACGUAGAAGCGAGCAAGAAUAAGAGUAAAACCUCAACGAAGUUGCACGUGGGCAACAUCAGUCCCACCUGUACCAACAAGGAGCUUCGGGCCAAGUUUGAGGAGUAUGGUCCAGUCAUUGAAUGUGACAUCGUGAAAGAUUAUGCCUUCGUACACAUGGAGCGGGCAGAGGAUGCAGUGGAGGCCAUCAGGGGUCUUGAUAACACAGAGUUUCAAGACAAAGGGCCAAAUCCUGGUCUUGAUCUGUGCCAAUCGACUUCAAAAGCUGUGACGUUGUUGGAUCAGUUCUGCUAAGGUGAGACCCGAAUUUGGAUCCCCAACAGUUCUGGAGUAUUUCAUUCUGGCAGCCUCAUUAACAUCAGGCUCCUGGGACUACAACCAACUCAGGGUUAUUCAGUCCAUUUGAGGUUCACACCUGGAAGAAACAAGAGUCUCACUUUGUGGCUCUAGGUAGAGUGCCAUGGCGUCACACAGGUCACAGCAACCUCCAACUCCUGGGCUUAGGAGAUUCUCUUGCCUCAGCCUCUCAAGUAGCUGGGACUACAGGCGCCCACAACACCCGACUAUUUUUUUGUUGCAGUUUGGCCCGGGCCAGGUUUGAACCCGCCACCCUUGGUAUAUGGGACUGGUGCCCUACCCACUGAGCCACAGGCACCGCCCUAAGCUUUUAAUUUCAAAUCCCCUGAAGUUCUUACAAUAAUUGAAAAAUAUGGUACUUCACUACUACCUCAAGGAAUCAGGGCAAAGAAAAUUGAAAGAAGAUUUGAUUCUUCUAUUCUGCUGUACUUGGACAGGCCAAAAGCUUAAAGAUUUUCUGAGACCUCCAAAAGUUACUGAAAUCUGCUGCCAACAUAUUCCAGAAAACCAGCGCAAUAUAAGUAUUUUCUUUUGAAAGCCUGAACAGAAAAGAGCAUUAAAAAGCUAA